rnacentral:tRNA from 4 species
GCGGAAAUAGCUCAGUGGUAGAGCACCACCUUGCCAAGGUGGGGGUCGCGGGUCCGAAUCCCGUUUUCCGCU